AGGAUUUGAUUAGUAAGGGCGACUGAAAAUCAAAGAGCUCACCAUGUGAAUCUGUACAAACAACUAGUGUUGUACCGAGUUGUGGUCUAUAGAAGCAUCAAUAGACAAAUUGGGCUAAGUCCCUUGGAACAGGGCAGCUGAGAGGGUGACACUCCCGUCUUUGCCUAAAUGUCAUUAUAUUGUGCUCUCCAUGAGUCGAGUUGCUUGGGAUUGCAGCUCAAAGUGGGUGGUAAAUUCCAUCUAAAGCUAAAUAUUGGUAGGGGACCGAUAGCGCACAAGUACCGUGAGGGAAAGAUGCAAAGAACUUUGAAAAGAGAGUUAAAGAGUACCUGAAAUUGCUGAAAGGGAAGCAAAGGAAACCAGUGUUGCUCCUAAUCAUUCUUCUCAUGCUGCUUGCAGCUUGGGCGCUGUGGUUAGGAAUAGGCCAGCAUGGGUUUGGAUUGAAGCAAAUAGCCAUUCAGGAGGUAGGUCUAUUUCAGGCUUCUAGACUGUUUGGUGUUGCUUUGGUCUAGACUGAGGUAAUCAUUUGCUCGUGAUGCUGGCAAAAUGGUUUUCUUUACCCCGUCUUGAAACACGGACCAAGGAGUUUAACAUGUGUGCGAGUAUAGGAGUGGCAAACUCCCAUGCAAAAUGAAAGUAACAGUGGUAGGACCUUCUGGGGCACUAUCCGCCGGCCACCAUCCUUCGGGAGAAAGGUCUGAGUGUGAGCAUAUAUGUUGAGACCCGAAAGAUGAUGAACUAUGCU
rnacentral:rRNA from 1 species